UACGGAGGAGGCAAGCGUUAUCCGGAAUUAUUGGGCGUAAAGCGUCCGCAGGUGGCACCUCAAGUCUGCUGUCAAAGACCGGGGCUUAACCCCAGAAAGGCAGUGGAAACUGAAGUGCUAGAGUGCAGUAGGGGUAGAGGGAAUUCCCGGUGUAGCGGUAAAAUGCGUAGAUAUCGAGAGGAACACCUGCGGCGAAGGCGGGUUGCUGGGCUGAUACUGACGCUGAGGCGCGAAAGCGUGGGGAGCGAACAGG
rnacentral:rRNA from 1 species